UUGCCUUUGAAUCAUAGUAAUGGCUGGGAUUAGGAAACUAAGGGUGGAUUUUGGAAGGAGGCUUUGAUCUGCUUACUGGGUCCAGUAUUGGAAUAAUCAGGGGAUUGGGAUCCAGAUGAUACAAUACAGCUUCUCGCUGUGGCUGGGGAAGUUCUAAAGGACACUUGGCUCCUGCAAUCCACCA